rnacentral:rRNA from 1 species
ACGCACGCUGGCGGCGUGCUUAACACAUGCAAGUCGAACGAAGAGCGACGGAAGCUUGCUUCUAUCAAUCUUAGUGGCGAACGGGUGAGUAACGCGUAAUCAACCUGCCCUUCAGAGGGGGACAACAGUUGGAAACGACUGCUAAUACCGCAUACGAUCUAAUCUCGGCAUCGAGGAUGGAUGAAAGGUGGCCUCUACAUGUAAGCUAUCACUGAAGGAGGGGAUUGCGUCUGAUUAGCUAGUUGGAGGGGUAACGGCCCACCAAGGCGAUGAUCAGUAGCCGGUCUGAGAGGAUGAACGGCCACAUUGGGACUGAGACACGGCCCAGACUCCUACGGGAGGCAGCAGUGGGGAAUCUUCCGCAAUGGACGAAAGUCUGACGGAGCAACGCCGCGUGAGUGAUGACGGCCUUCGGGUUGUAAAGCUCUGUUAAUCGGGACGAAAGGCCUUCUUGCGAAUAGGGAGAAGGAUUGACGGUACCGGAAUAGAAAGCCACGGCUAACUACGUG